AUGAAAUUCAUAAUCCAAAAUGAUCUUCGAUGAGAGUAAAACUAGAGGUUCUUACACUAUAUCUGUAAUGCAGAGAAAAUGCUCAUUGUUACAAUCUGUAUUAACUGAAUAUAAAAAGCAACUUCACCAAGGAAUAGAAAUCUAGCUCAGAGCUUACACAUACAGACACAUAUAUAUAUGUAUUCUCCAAGAGACUCUAACGUAUUCCUUGUCAUACCUCAUGCUCCUUUCUUCAUAUCUGAACUGUAUGGCUUUACUUACACCAGCAACACAUAGUGGAAGUACAGAGCGUUUCAUUCCUGGCAAAUAUGAUCAAGUUAGGAAGCAAGUCUGGAUCAUUUAGACUAAAAUACAAGGUAAGGAGAUGAUUACAUGAAGAUCCUGAGCAGACACCACCCUUGCCCUCAGUCCUGUGUAAAUUUGUGAGGCAGCACUUCUACUGCCUCAUGGUUUGUGGCAUUCCAGGCACCUGAAGUGAAUCAUUCAGAUGGAGGUAGUGGUGUAAGGCAGUUUUGCAGUAUGAAGCUACAAUAGAAGACCCAUCAAUCAAAUGAAUGGAACCCUGACUCAACAGAGAAGUAAAUUCUUGGUAACCACGGGGAUGUAAACCAAAAAUAAAAUUCUAAGCACCUCCCCCCAACCAUCUGAAUGGACUUAUUGCUCACCCAGGACUCUUAAAAUUUAACCUGAGAGACUGUUUCAGGCCAUGAUGGGAAGUGGGGGUCAGAUAUGCCUCAUUAUACUUCUCUGGCAUUAACAUCGACACAGACUUCAAGUCUGAUAAGAAACAUUUUACAACCUAUUCUCUCUGAAGCCUGCUACCUUAGGGCUUCCUGUGCAAAUAAGAACUUUGGUCUCUACAAUCCUGUAUCUUAACCCAGAGAUUCCAUUCUGUUGAUCCCAGGUCUUUAAAUAAACUCAACCAAUUGUCAACCAGAAAGUUUUAAAAUCUACCCAUAAGCUGGAAGCCCCCACUUUCUGGACCAAACCAAUGUAUUUCUUAAGUGUAUUUGAUUGAUGCCUCGUGCCUCCCUAACAUGUAUAAAACCAAGCUGCACCCAGACUACCUUGGCCACAUGUUCUCAGGACCUCCUAAUGGCUGCGUCAGAGGUCAUGGUCACUCAUAUUUGGCUCAGAAUAAGUCUCUUCGAAUAUUUUACAGAGUUUGACUCUUUUCAUUGACAGAGAAAAGGCAAUAAAAUAAAGAUUCUGUUAUAAGGCAAUAAAAUAAAGAUUCUGUUAUCCUUUUUAUCUUGGCAUUUAUUCUCAUUAACACACUCCUAACUAAUGGUCCCUGUCAUAGGAGAACAAGGUCAGAUUGAAAACAGUAUGCAAGAGGUGAACAAAGAGUUUUUAGAUUAGUCUAUGAGGAGACUAUAAAACCAGUAGAAAGAGACAGAAGACAAGAUGAAACUUUUUAAGACUAUCCAUAUAAAGUCAUGAUAGAUCCUUGGGAAAAACCAUGAGCUCAUGUUCACUGACUUUGUAAGAGGCUCUAAUGGCCAUUGUUUAAACUCAUUUAAGCCAUGCCAGAUGACAGCUUUAUCCAAAAAUGAUGGAUUUAUGAAGUUCAUUUGUGUGUGAGACUAAAUAUCUGUUUUUCUCAAAGCAUAAUUUCUAAGUGUUAAAUGAAUUCUCCAUAGAACUCACAAGAGAUGUUUGACCUCAACUGGAUGCCAUUACAGGUUUAGUAAAAUCAUUAAUGAGUAAAAGAUUAAGCGAUCACAGUAUUAGCUAAAUACUUAGCUAACUCAGCAAUGACAUUUACCAAGCUCAUUUUCUUAUUUUAAGAAGAUUACAAAAAAAUGUAAACAUUAAACUAUUCUUCACUAAGACAGCUAAUGGUUCAUUGGAGCUGCAAUGGUUUCCAAUAAAGAUAAGAGGAAAAUAAGCCUUUUUUUCAGUCAUUUUACUGUGAUAAACUAUAUCUAAGAAACUAAUAUUGAUAAUAAAAGGAAUAAUACAUUAUUUUGUGUACUGGAGAGGUAGAAAGGAACCUCAUAUACAAAGGGGAAAUAUUAAUAGGUAAGAUCUUUUUUAUGAGAAGUGAGUUUUUGCAACUUUAUUUUACCUUUUUCCAGAAAAAAGAUAGAAAUCGUAAUUAAUAUCUAAAGUUUUGUAUUUAUUCUUCUGAACUUGAAUUUUAUUUAAUGUACAGAAUAAGUAAUUUCUACAAAGACCAAAAUGUUGGUGUGUUGUUGAAGGCAUGUCCUGCAUUUAAUUUUGCUCUGUAGUCCACCUUGGCCAAAUGGAGCUAAAGUACUGACAGCUCUUAGUCACGUUUAUUCUUAGUGAACUAUUCUAUUCUCAGUGAACUAGCCCCAGUCUCUAGGAUUGUCCCUCUCAUGCCCCUUUACUCUGCUCUUUCUUUCUUCAACUAAAUUCUUCUGCCUAAAGCAUGUUGGAGCUGGGAUUUCAGAAACAAUGAAUGUUUAAGUAUUAGCAUGCAGGGUAUUUAUAAUAUGAAUUAUAAUAUAUCUAUUCACACUAUGUGUUCUUUCAGAAAUAAUUAAUAGUACCUAAAAGAUAAAUUUAUCUUGAAUUUAAUCAGCUUCUUUAUCAAUUCAUAGUAGAUGACAACACAUAAAUGUGUAAGAGAUGAACAAGGUAUUGCAGAAGGUGGAAGAAUAGCGUUUGAUACAAGAAAGAGAAUAUCUUUGCAUAUAUUAUUUUAAUAGGUAGUAUGAUAUAGAUUAUUUCAUACACUGAUCAACACCUUCCCUGAUGCAUCUAUAUUAAUCUACAUGCAUGGUUUACUUAUGGAUAUGUAAAGGCAGUAAUGAAACGGGUUUGGUCCAGGAAGAGCUAAGGAAGCAGUGCACUUUGGGAGUUGUAGUACUUCAUUCAGUGUUUCUGGCUGUAGAAAAAUGUCGUUGAUAUCUGGGAAUAAACCUCUUUCUCAUAAGAAAAUAAUCAAGGACUGUUACUUUCAAUCAAUCAUCCAGUUAAAAUCUGAAAUGAUAAUAAUAAACAAAAAACCUCUAAAAUUGGUCUGACACAAUUUUGAAUUUAAGGGAUAAAAGAUUUCUGGAACAUAGGGGAAGAAAAUAGAAGGUUUCCUACAAAACAAGGAAAGUCAUUCUUUACACAGGAACACUGAAUACUAAAAUUCUAGAACAAUGACAGAUAUUUUUAGGGAAAAAUGUUGUGAUUCAAUAUAACAUACUCUUUAUGAUAUUGUAUUUCAUAUGUUUAUGAAACAGAAGGACUUGCUUUCGUAUAUAAUAACUCAGAUAUACACACAUCUCUAUAAUAUGUAAAAUGGAAUUUAGUCAAUGGAAUUUGAGAGAGAAAUCAAGUAAAUAAUUCAUGAUUAGGGAUGUUAUUAUAAAAGUAGAAGCAGUGAAUAUUGAAAUUGAAUAACAAAAACUUCACUCUAAAUAAAUGUUAUGAAUAUGGAUACAAAUAUGAUUACAAAUAAAAAUAUAAGUAUGCAUAAAGAGUUAUAAAAUACUUCUCAGUAAUCACUGAAGUAUCCAAAUCAUUCCAUUAUGAAUAUUGUCAUUGCUCCUAAGUAUGCUAUCGUGUAUGGGUUAUUUUCUUCCAUGAGGCAUUUGUAUUUGAUGUCUGCAGGCUCUACAUACCGGGGAACACUUUGCAAUAAAUAUCUAUCCAUUUGAUGUUUUGGAUACUACCCAGGUAGGUCCCAAAUAUAUAUAAGGCCACAACGUUACAGAAAGUUUUUAUCCUUUUUCAGGUGAGAUAUAAUUUUUCCCACCACCUAGUGCCUUGCUGGCUCUUCUGCUAACUUUCCCAUGUGAUCUCUCCAAGCAAACACUGAACUUUUCCCUCUAUUCCCACAUACUUCACAGACAUUAAAACACAAGCUCGAAGUCAGCAAAGAUUGGCAUGGGCCUUCAGGGACUCACAGGCUUUUGAGUUUUUUACCUCUAUGGAUUUCUGCCUUCAUUCAUAUAUUUGGCAUAUAGUAGUUUUCUUUACAUUCUUUUUAGCUCAGAAAUACAUUGAAAAAUAUACUUUUUAUGAAGUUUCCCUUAUGCAGAAUAAAUAAGUUCUGGAGAUUUAAUGUAAAGCAUGGUGACUAUAGUUUAGAACAUUGUAUUGUAUACUUGUAAUUUGCUGAAAAAGAUCUUACAUAUUCUCACCCUACACACAAAAUAUGGUAACUCUGUAAAGUGAUGUCUAUAAUAAUUAACUUGAUUGUGGUACAUUUGACAAUAUAGACAUAUGUCAAAACAUCAUGUCAUGUACCUUAAAUAUAUACAAUUUAUAUUUGCCAAUUGUACCUCAAUAAAGCUGGAAAG
rnacentral:lncRNA from 1 species